CUGCCCUCAGGGAUUCCAGGGGCGCCCUGUAAAGACCCCAGUCCCUGUAACAUGUUCUGGUGCCUGACCCACUUUUUCAGAAAGGAACGGCGUUUCCAGUCUCACUGCAGCAUGAAGCUAACAUUUCCCUUUGGAAAUUGGACACAGUGACCCCAAUUCGUGUGACUGAGAGACGACAUCACCUACAGAGCCCUAUGAAAAGAAGUCAGCAAAUGCUCUGACCUCCGGGUGCUGGGGGAGAAGACCGCAGAGAGAGGAAGAUCUGGGCCCAGAAUUCCUUGUUCGUGUCCAGAAAACUAUAAACACAGUGAAUUCCUUCAAACCUAUCUGCAAAGCCCACUGGGCAGUUUAUGUCACAGAACGUCUCAGAGAUUAGAGCAUUUUGCACGCACCAAGACUCCUGAUCAAAGAUGUAUCUAAACAUGCCCUGUGGGUGGGCAAUUCCUCAGGAGCCAGUUCGGGAGGCUGUUUGUCACUUGUCCUCUCCCUAGUAAGGAAAGGCCCCCCUGGACCAGACAGUCGGAAGACUUGAGUUCUGGUCUCUUACUGUCGACCUCAGUGAGCUUGGAUGAAUCCCCUCUGCAUUUGUCUUGAUUGGUUCUUGAUUGAUUCAGCCCAAGCUCUGCAUUUAAAU
rnacentral:lncRNA from 1 species